UCCUGGCUCAGAUUGAACGCUGGCGGCAGGCCUAACACAUGCAAGUCGAGCGGUAGAGAAGGAGCUUGCUUCUUCUUGAGAGCGGCGGACGGGUGAGUAAUGCCUAGGAAUCUGCCUGGUAGUGGGGGACAACGUUUCGAAAGGAACGCUAAUACCGCAUACGUCCUACGGGAGAAAGUGGGGGAUCUUCGGACCUCACGCUAUCAGAUGAGCCUAGGUCGGAUUAGCUUGUAGGUGAGGUAAUGGCUCACCUAGGCAACGAUCCGUAACUGGUCUGAGAGGAUGAUCAGUCACACUGGAACUGAGACACGGUCCAGACUCCUACGGGAGGCAGCAGUGGGGAAUAUUGGACAAUGGGCGAAAGCCUGAUCCAGCCAUGCCGCGUGUGUGAAGAAGGUCUUCGGAUUGUAAAGCACUUUAAGUUGGGAGGAAGGGGUGUAGCUUAAUACGCUGCAACUUUGACGUUACCAACAGAAUAAAGCACCGGCUAACUCUGUGCCAGCAGCCGCGGUAAUACAGAGGGUGCAAGCGUUAAUCGGAAUUACUGGGCGUAAAGCGCGCGUAGGCGGCUUGAUAAGAUGGGUGUGA
rnacentral:rRNA from 2 species